GAUGAACGCUGGCGGCGUGCCUAAUACAUGCAAGUCGAGCGAACGGACGAGAAGCUUGCUGCUCUGAUGUUAGCGGCGGACGGGUGAGUAACACGUGGAUAACCUACCUAUAAGACUGGGAUAACUUCGGGAAACCGGAGCAAAUACCGGAUAAUAUUUUGAACCGCAUGGUUCAAAAGUGAAAGACGGCCUUGCUGUCACUAAUAGAUGGAUCCGCGCUGCAUUAGCUAGUUGGUAAGGUAACGGCUUACGAAGGCAACGAUGCAUAGCCGACCUGAGAGGGUGAUCGGCCGCCCUGGAGCGGGGCCACGGUCCAGGCUCCUACGGGAGGCAGCAGUAGGGAAUCUUCCGCAAUGGGCGAAAGCCUGGCGGAGCAACGCCGCGUGAGUGAUGAAGGUCUUCGGAUCGUAAUACUCUGUUAUUAGUGAAGAACAUAUGUGUAAGUAGCUGUGCACAUCUUGACGGUACCUAAUCAGAAAGCCACGGCUAACUACGUG
rnacentral:rRNA from 1 species